rfam:Coccomyxa subellipsoidea C-169, whole genome shotgun sequence.
GGGGAAUUAGCUCAGAUGGUAGAGCGCUCGCUUAGCAUGCGAGAGGUAGGGGGAUCGAUGCCCCCAUUCUCCA